CCUACGGGAGGCUGCAGUGGGGAAUAUUGCACAUUGGGGGAAACCCUGAUGCAGCGACGCCGCGUGAGUGAAGAAGUAUUUCGGUACGUAAAGCUCUAUCAGCAGGGAAGAAAAUGACGGUACCUGACUAAGAAGCCCCGGCUAACUACGUGCCAGCAGCCGCGGUAAUACGUAGGGGGCAAGCGUUAUCCGGAUUUACUGGUUGUAAAGGGAGCGUAGACGGCAGCGCAAGUCUGGAGUGAAAUCCCAUGGCUUAACCAGGGAACUGCUUUGGAAACUGGGCAGCUAGAGUGCAGGAGAGGUAAGCGGAAUUCCUAGUGUAGCGGUGAAAUGCGUAGAUAUUAGGAGGAACACCAGUGGCGAAGGCGGAUUACUGGACUGUAACUGACGUUGAGGCUCGAAAGCGUGGGGAGCAAACAGGAUUAGAUACCCUUGUAGUC
rnacentral:rRNA from 1 species